rnacentral:rRNA from 1 species
AGAGUGAACGCUGGCGGCAGGCCUAAUACAUGCAAGUCGAACGGCAGCACGGCAGAGCUUGCUCUGUGGGUGGCGAGUGGCGGACGGGUGAGGAAUACAUGGGAAUCUGCCCAGUCGUGGGGGAUAACGUAGGGAAACUUACGCUAAUACCGCAUGCGCCCUUCGGGGGAAAGCCGGGACCUUCGGGCCUGGCGCGAUUGGAUGAGCCCAUGUCGGAUUAGCUAGUUGGCGGGGUAACGCCCACCAAGGCGACGAUCCGUAGCUGGUCUGAGAGGAUGAUCAGCCACACUGGAACUGAGACACGGUCCAGACUCC